rnacentral:rRNA from 1 species
ACUGAACCUUAUCAUUUAGAGGAAGGAGAAGUCGUAACAAGGUUUCCGUAGGUGAACCUGCGGAAGGAUCAUUGUUGAAACCUGCACAGCAGAACGACCCGCGAACCCGUAAAAUACAACCGGGGGGCGAGGGACCUAUCCGGACCCGGACCCCYCGGCGGGGRGGCGUGGCUCGGGCUUCGCUGGCCGAUGCCCGCCGCCGCUGCCUUCCCGCCGCACAAACGAAACCCCGGCGCAAACCGCGCCAAGGAACUCGAACGAAUCAGGCAUCGCCCCGGCGCCCCAGAGAUGGUGCGCGCUCGGGGUGCUGCGCCGUAUUCUGUAUGUCAAAACGACUCUCGGCAACGGAUAUCUCGGCUCUCGCAUCGAUGAAGAACGUAGCGAAAUGCGAUACUUGGUGUGAAUUGCAGAAUCCCGUGAACCAUCGAGUCUUUGAACGCAAGUUGCGCCCGAAGCCACUAGGCCGAGGGCACGUCUGCCUGGGCGUCACACAACGUUGCCCCCCCACCCAAAACCUCGUACUCGAGGGGGACGGGGGGGCGGAUGCUGGCCUCCCGUGCGCCCCGGCUCGCGGCUGGCCUAAAUGCGAGCACCCGGCGGCGAGCGCCGCGGCAAUCGGUGGUUUUCCAAACCUCGGUGCCAAGCCGCGCGCGCGAGCCGCCCAUGCGUGCCCGUCGACCCCCAACGCGCCGCACACGCGGCGUUCACAACGCGACCCCAGGUCAGGCGGGGCUACCCGCUGAGUUUAAGC